rnacentral:rRNA from 1 species
GAUGAACGCUGGCGGCGUGCCUAAUACAUGCAAGUCGAGCGAACAGACGAGGAGCUUGCUCUUCUGACGUUAGCGGCGGACGGGUGAGUAACACGUGGAUAACCUACCUAUAAGACUGGGAUAACUUCGGGAAACCGGAGCUAAUACCGGAUAAUAUUUUGAACCGCAUGGUUCAAUAGUGAAAGACGGUUUUGCUGUCACUUAUAGAUGGAUCCGCGCUGCAUUAGCUAGUUGGUAAGGUAACGGCUUACCAAGGCAACGAUGCGUAGCCGACCUGAGAGGGUGAUCGGCCACACUGGAACUGAGACACGGUCCAGACUCCUACGGGAGGCAGCAGUAGGGAAUCUUCCGCAAUGGGCGAAAGCCUGACGGAGCAACGCCGCGUGAGUGAUGAAGGUCUUCGGAUCGUAAAACUCUGUUAUUAGGGAAGAACAAAUGUGUAAGUAACUAUGCACGUCUUGACGGUACCUAAUCAGAAAGCCACGGCUAACUACGUG